GGAUAAGGAAAGUAAAAAAGGGCGCAUGGCGGAUGCCUUGGCUCUCGGAGGCGAUGAAGGACGUGAUAAGCUGCGAUAAGCUUUGGGGAGGUGCAAAUGACCUUUGAUCCAGAGAUUUCCGAAUGGGACAACCCAAUAUCUUGAAGAGGUAUUAUCUUACUAUGUAAGAGGCUAACGCAGGGAACUGAAACAUCUUAGUACCUGCAGGAAAAGAAAAUAAACAAUGAUUCCCCCAGUAGUGGCGAGCGAACGGGGAACAGCCCAAACCAUCCAUGUUACGGCAUGGGUGGGGUUGUAGGACUACGCCGUUGCAUGAAGACAUCAGAGAAGAACUUUCUGGAAAGAAAGACCAUAGAGCAUGACAGUUGCGUAUUCGAAUGUUGUCGAAGCAUAGUAGUAUCCUGAGUAGCGCGGAGCACGAGGAAUUCUGCGUGAAUCUGCCGGGACCAUCCGGUAAGGCUAAAUACUCCCGAGAGACCGAUAGCGAACCAGUACCGUGAGGGAAAGGUGAAAAGCACUUCGAACAGAAGAGUGAAAUAGUUCCUGAAACCGUGCGCCUACAAGCGGUCGGAGCUCGUUAAUGAGUGACGGCGUGCCUUUUGCAUAAUGAACCUACGAGUUGCCUUUGCCGGCAAGGUUAAGUGUGACGACACACGUAUCCGAAGCGAAAGCGAGUCUGAACAGGGCGUAUAGUCGGCAGUGGCAGACGCGAAACCAAGUGAUCUACCCUUGGCCAGGUUGAAGGCUGGGUAACACCAGCUGGAGGACCGCACCAAUAAGCGUUGAAAAGCUUCUGGAUGAGCUGAGGGUAGGGGUGAAAGGCUAAUCAAACUUGGAGAUAGCUCGUACUCCCCGAAAUGCAUUUAGGUGCAGCCUUGCGGGUUACUGAUGUGAGGUAGAGCGACUGAUAAGAUGCGAGGGCUUCACCGCCUAUCAAGUCUUGACAAACUCCGAAUGCGCAUCAGUUCUACCGCAGGAGUGAGGGCAUGGGUGCUAAGGUCCGUGCCCGAGAGGAGAAGAAUCCGGACCACCUGCUAAGGUCCCGAAAUGACAGCUAAGUUAAACUAACGAAGUCUGACUGCUAAGACAGCUAGGAUGUUGGCUUGGAAGCAGCCAUUCAUUUAAAGAGUGCGUAACAGCUCACUAGUCGAGGAGUCGGGCGUGGAUAAUAAUCGGGUAUCAAGUUGUCUACCGAAGCAGUGGGAUCAUUUAUAUGAUCGGUAGGGGAGCAUUCCAGUCAGCGUCGAAGGCGUACCGUGAGGUAUUCUGGAGCGUCUGGAAAAGCAAAUGUAGGUAUAAGUAACGAUAAAGGGGGCGGGAAACCCCCUCGCCGAAAGACUAAGGUUUCCUGAUCAACGCUAAUCGGAUCAGGGUCAGUCGGGUCCUAAGGCUCAGCCGAACGGCGAUGCCGAUGGCAGAAACGGUUAAUAUUCCGUUACUACCUUCAGGAGUGACGUGGAGACGCAGUAGUGACAGUGCCGCCAUCUGACGGAAUAGAUGGUUGAAGGGUGUAGGAGUCGAUCAUGGCAGGCAAAUCCACCAUGAGAUCCGAACCUGACAGUAUGCCGCGUCCUUCGGGACAAGGCAAUAGUGCGCGUAAGCAUGCUGCCGAGAAAAUCCGCUAAACUUAAUCCUGCAGGUACCCGUACCGCAAACGGACACACGUAGUCGGGAUGAAUAUUCUAAGGCGCUUGAGUGAUUCACGGUUAAGGAACUAGGCAAACUGACCCUGUAACUUCGGGAUAAAGGGUCCCUACCCUUUUAUGGGAGGGCGCAGAGAAUCGGUCCAGGCAACUGUUUAACAAAAACACAGGGCUGUGCCAAAUCGAAAGAUCCAGUAUACAGCCUGACACCUGCCCGGUGCUGGAAGGUUAAGAGGAGAUGUCAUCGAUAAGAGAAGCGUUGAAUUGAAGCCCCAGUAAACGGCGGCCGUAACUAUAACGGUCCUAAGGUAGCGAAAUUCCUUGUCGGGUAAGUUCCGACCUGCACGAAUGGUGUAAUGAUCUGGACGCUGUCUCAACCGUGAGCUCAGUGAAAUUGUAGUAUCGGUGAAGAUGCCGAUUACCCGCGAUGGGACGAAAAGACCCCGUGAACCUUUACUAUAGCUUAUCAUUGAAUCUGGGCACGUGAUGUGUAGGAUAGGUCGGAGGCUUUGAAGCAGGUACGCCAGUAUUUGUGGAGCCGCUGUUGAAAUACGACCCUUUAUUUGUUUGGAUUCUAACCCGUGGAACGGGGACAUUGAUUGGUGGGUAGUUUGACUGGGGUGGUCGCCUCCAAAAGCGUAACGGAGGCUUCUAAAGGUGCCCUCCGGCCGAUUGGUAACCGGCCUUAGAGUGUAAUGGCAUAAGGGCGCUUGACUGGGAGACUAACAAGUCGAUCAGGUAGGAAACUAGAGCAUAGUGAUCCGGUGUUUCCGUAUGGAAGGGACAUCGCUCAAAGGAUAAAAGGUACUCCGGGGAUAACAGGCUGAUCCCUCCCAAGAGCUCAUAUCGACGGAGUGGUUUGGCACCUCGAUGUCGGCUCGUCACAUCCUGGGGCUGGAGAAGGUCCCAAGGGUUGGGCUGUUCGCCCAUUAAAGUGGCACGCGAGCUGGGUUCAGAACGUCGUGAGACAGUUCGGUCUCUAUCUAUCGUGGGCGCAUGAAAUUUGCGUGGCUCUGACACUAGUACGAGAGGACCGUGUUGGACAGACCUCUGGUUUGCCGGUUGUGCCGCCAGGUGCAUUGCCGGGUAUCUAAGUCUGGAUCGGAUAAGUGCUGAAAGCAUCUAAGUACGAAGCCGGCCACAAGAUUAGAUUUCUCAGGGUCGUUGUAGACUACGACGUUGAUAGGAUGCAGGUGUAAAGAUGGAGACAUCAAAGCCGAGCAUUACUAAUUGCCCGUUCACUUUCUUUA
rnacentral:rRNA from 1 species